GUCAUUUUUAAGGGUUUGUUGGUCACCCAAAGAUACAUCGGAUUAAGAAGAAGCUAAAACUUAUUUUGCUAUUCAAAGUUUGUUUGUGUUUCAGGGUGCGUUUCAGAGACGAUCGUUAAGGCGAUCGUUAGCUGAUUUUGGUAGUACGACAAAAAUUACCGAUCGGCACCGUUUCAGAGACGCAACGUGCACCUGCUUUAUCGUUAAUUCUGAUCGUAAACCUACGACCGACUAGAGGCACUCGUAAACUUAACGAUCAAGAUGGCAGAUGAAGAUUUUCUCCAUAUCAAAACAUACCAUUUGAUGGCGUGUGUACAACAAAAACCUAAGAUGAAAGAUUGACAACAAAGUGUCAUGGUCUUGAUGGAAUAUGCUGUGCUCCUCAGACCUCUUAGUUAGACAUAUAUUUAAUAAUGGCCACUGAGUAAUCCAAGGUUUCAGACAUCUAGAAUAUGCUCAUGGUCAGUCUUCAAGAUACUCACCCAAUCAUUCCACUGUGAAUAAGGAUACUGUGACAAAACAGUAAUUACCAACAUCCACUGGAGAUACCAGACCAAGCAGACUUUAAGCUAUAUAUAUAUGGACACAGACAAUACAAUUCAUUGCAUAUUCCAACACAGCAUAAUAUUUCAAACUGUUUCAUAGGCAGUGAGGCAUUUGUGCUAACCUCAUACGUUGAAAUGAUUUUUGUUUUUUUAAGUUUGACUUUGAAUUGGAAAAGCCAUUAACAUUUGAUUUUCCAAAACAUUAUAUUUAUACAGUGUCAUCUGUCCAUUUGUACAUAUUUUCCUCCAAGCAUUUAAACAAUUUUGAAUUAUAAAGGAAAAAUUUAAAUGAAACAUUUAUUGAAUCCUAUGAUAAUAUAUGAAACACACACAACCAUGGUUGUUCAUGUAAUAUUACCAUGGAUUUACUAUUUCGCUCCAUUGUUCGAUCUAUGGUACUCGAUGUUAGACGGUUAAAAUGCAUUUUCUUUUAUCAGGUGUAAUUGUUUAUUAGAUGUUCAUAAGAUAAUAGUACCGAAAUAUAUCGUGUAUUUCAAGUUUUGAAUUUUCUUUAAAAUGUUAAGGUUUCAAGUUUAAUUGGCAAUAUUGGCAAUAAAUAUGUGUUAUAAA